GACGAACGCUGGCGGCGUGCCUAAUACAUGCAAGUAGAACGCUGAAGGAGGAGCUUGCUUCUCUGGAUGAGUUGCGAACGGGUGAGUAACGCGUAGGUAACCUGCCUGGUAGCGGGGGAUAACUAUUGGAAACGAUAGCUAAUACCGCAUAAGAGUAGAUGUUGCAUGACAUUUGCUUAAAAGGUGCAAUUGCAUCACUACCAGAUGGACCUGCGUUGUAUUAGCUAGUUGGUGGGGUAACGGCUCACCAAGGCGACGAUACAUAGCCGACCUGAGAGGGUGAUCGGCCACACUGGGACUGAGACACGGCCCAGACUCCUACGGGAGGCAGCAGUAGGGAAUCUUCGGCAAGGGACGGAAGGCUGACCGAGCAACGCCGCGUGAGUGAAGAAGGGUUUCGGAUCGUAAAGCUCUGUUGUAAGAGAAGAACGAGUGUGAGAGUGGAAAGUUCACACUGUGACGGUAUCUUACCAGAAAGGGACGGCUAACUACGUG
rnacentral:rRNA from 1 species